GACGAACGCUGGCGGCGUGCCUAAUACAUGCAAGUAGAACGCACAGUUUAUACCGUAGCUUGCUACACCAUAGACUGUGAGUUGCGAACGGGUGAGUAACGCGUAGGUAACCUGCCUGGUAGCGGGGGAUAACUAUUGGAAACGAUAGCUAAUACCGCAUAAUAUUAAUUAUUGCGUGAUAAUUAAUUGAAAGGUGCAAUUGCACCACUACCAGAUGGACCUGCGUUGUAUUAGCUAGUAGGUGAGGUAACGGCUCACCUAGGCGACGAUACAUAGCCGACCUGAGAGGGUGAUCGGCCACACUGGGACUGAGACACGGCCCAGACUCCUACGGGAGGCAGCAGUAGGGAAUCUUCGGCAAUGGACGAAAGUCUGACCGAGCAACGCCGCGUGAGUGAAGAAGGUUUUCGGAUCGUAAAGCUCUGUUGUAAGAGAAGAACGGGUGUGAGAGUGGAAAGUUCACACUGUGACGGUAUCUUACCAGAAAGGGACGGCUAACUACGUG
rnacentral:rRNA from 1 species